UUAAAAUUAUUGGGCACAGUUAUUCUCAAACCUGGGCCAAUUUUCCAAUGUCAAUCUCUAUUUACGUGUCCAACAGUUGAACUUGUGGAGGGGAAGAAAUAUGCUUGGUGUAAGUGUGGAGUAAGCAAGAACCAGCCUUUCUGUGACGGACGUCACAAGACAACAAGAAUUCUGCUGGUUCGUUUUGUUGCUUAAGAAACCAGUGGAGAAGUG